UACGUAGGGUGCGAGCGUUGUCCGGAAUUAUUGGGCGUAAAGAGCUCGUAGGCGGUCCGUCGCGUCGAAUGUGAAAACCCGGGGCUCAACUCCGGGCUUGCAUUCGAUACGGGCGGACUAGAGUUCGGUAGGGGAGACUGGAAUUCCUGGUGUAGCGGUGAAAUGCGCAGAUAUCAGGAGGAACACCGGUGGCGAAGGCGGAUCUCUGGGCCUGUCCUGACGCUGAGGCGCGAAAGCUAGGGGAGCGAACAGG
rnacentral:rRNA from 1 species